AAUGAACGUUGGCGGCGUGGAUUAGGCAUGCAAGUCGAGCGCGAUAUGUAGCAAUACGUGGAGAGCGGCGAAAGGGAGAGUAAUACGUAGGUAUCUACCCUCGGGUCUGGGAUAGCAGCGGGAAACUGCUGGUAAUACCAGAUAACGUCUCCGGACCAAAGGUGUGAUUCCACCUGAGGAGGAGCCUACGGCCUAUUAGCUAGUUGGUAGGGUAACGGCCUACCAAGGCAAAGAUGGGUAUGGGGUGUGAGAGCAUGCCCCCACUCACUGGGACUGAGACACUGCCCAGACACCUACAGGUGGCUGCAGUCGAGAAUCUUCGGCAAUGGGCGAAAGCCUGACCGAGCGACGCCGCGUGCGGGAUGAAGGCCUUCGGGUUGUAAACCGCUGUCGUAGUGGAGGAAAUGUAGGAGAGUUAUCUCUUCUACUUGACUAAUACUAGGAGGAAGGACCGGCUAAUCUCGUGCCAGCAGCCGCCGUAAGAC
rnacentral:rRNA from 1 species